GCCAAACCCCCCCACACAUCACGCCCUCACCCCUCCCCGUCGCGUCUUCAACCCCCGCCGGCGCCGAGUGCGCCGCUCGUCGCGCCGCCCACAUCCACGGUGAGACCCUCUGGAUCUGGCAGUCUCCGAUCCCCAUCACCGUACCCCGCCUCCGCCUCACCGCAAUGUCACCCGAUUCCGCGCCGCCAGUUCACCGUCGCCCGGAUUGACCACCGUCCCCCGCCUCUCCACCGCGCCGAUCUCCUCCGCGACUCCCACCGCCGCCGCCGCCGCUUCUCUUGGUUCUCGAUUUUGGUUUGGUUUGCUCCGGAUUUCUUGAGUCGGGGAGGCCGGGAGGGGAUUCGUCUCGUGAUUUUCUUUGUCUAUUGUUUGAUUGAUCUACCUAUUCAGGAAAAUGAUCGAGGCAAUCGACGAGUACAGCGCCGAAGAUUCGCUCCAACCAUGGCUAGAGAGGGGAUUGCUCAAGUCGGCUGGUGGUGAUCUACGACCAGACGACGACCUCUACAAGAAGGAUCUCCGCUACCUCAAAGUGUGACUGGAAUAUGUGAGUUCAUGAAUUCAGAUUUGGUUCUGAGGUGGAUUGGUUUGGUUUCCUUUUGACAUCCAGCUUGUGUUUAUCUUUUCAUGCAUGACGGCGGGGAAUUGUGCUGAUUCCUGGAGGCUAACCCGAUCAGUCAGAGCCAUACCAAUUACUACUUGUGUAAUGCGUUGGUAAUAUAUUGAACCACAGGGUAAUCUCUCUCAAUAAUUUAAAUUGGCACAAUUAAAGAUGUUGGAUUAAUUGCAUCAGUGUGACAUCCAUGAUUUGUUUAGCACUCUGGGCAGUUUUACUGCAAAUUUGUUGGUUCUUAACUCUGAAGAAUAUGUCUAGCUUAGAUUGGAUGUCUGGCCAUUGGGGAGAUAGACAUAGCAGGAUAUGGUAGUGCAUGCGUUCGCGAAAAAGGAUAUGGUAGUGCAUGAAUAAUAUGUUUAACUGACUAUGAUCCUACUGCUUGUAUGUUCACAUCAAAAUUUUUCUUUCUUAAAGAUCUGAUAACGUGGGGGAUGCAUGUAUGUUUGUGAUAUGGUUCAUCAGUAUGGAUGCAUCUUGUCACCCUGAAAGUAUACGGUUGCCAUCCAUGGAAUAAAGGGGUGAAGAAGAUGGCAAGUGUCAAUUUAGAGUGGUAAUUUGGGAAUCCAUGUCGUAUGCUUGUCUUAGGAGCUUAUGACCCACGUAGACAAGCAUGUGGCAAUACUACAGUAGCAUCUUGGCUUAAUCAUCUUAUCAAUUGGAGUAUUGUGCAUGAAAGUCAGAUAAAGGUUUACGACUGAAUAUGAUUGUGUGUUUAAGCCAAAUAUAAUAAAUUAAUAUGCUAAUCUUAAUUUAUUUUCAUGAUUGUUGAUUUGUAGGUAGGUAUGCUUGCAUUUUCUCCCGAGGGAAAACUCAAAUAGUCUCAAAUUUAGCUUACAAAACAGGAAUUGAAGAUCUAUGAUUUCUCCAUUUUUCUUUAAAUUAAAAUCUGUUUUGCAGUUAUGAGAAAACAAGGCCAUUUGUUAUUCUUAUGUACGAGUACAACGCUUUGGCAGCAAAUUUCUUUACUUACAGUUUCACAUCUUACUUGGAGUGCACUGUAUAGAAAAAUAUGAUUCAGAUUGCAUUUCCCAUUAAGUAUACGCUUCAAUAAGCAAUUGCGAGGGAUGACCUUUGCAUCCUUCUAGCUAUUUAUUUUCCACUUAAGUUCUAUGGAGUAUCACAUCAUGUGUCAGUUUUUGAUGGCAUGCCAUCGACGAAGCCAGUCGUGCCUUCUGCUUGAACACAAUGGACAUUGCCUCCCCACUUGAACAGACCAAAUCUGGAACCUCUGCCUUCAUGGACUUCACAGCUCGACAAUUCCAUUCUCCAAAAUCUGUUGUACAGAGCAACAAGUGCAAGACAUCACCCUUAAUGUUCAAAUAUAUUAUGCAAUAUAGCCUGAUCACUUAAUGUUCAAAUGUGCUCAAGCAAAGUUCCUGCAGUUGCUAUUUUAGAGAUGUGCAAGAGAUAGAAUCCCAAAUUCUAGAAUUGAGGUCAUGUCCAUGCUGCAAUAUCCUGAAAACAAAAUCAGAAUAUUACCUUCUUGUAUUUGUUCUCUGUAGGAACAUGGGCCAUUUCGCUAACCCGAAAUGAUUGGGUGUUAAAAACAAAUUGCUUUCAGAUAUUGCAUUUGCCUUAUAGAGUUGUUUCCCUUUUGCAACAAUGGAGACCUUUCAUCCCUUCGAAACUGGCAGGGUACUUGGAUGCUUUAAAGGGAUUCUUGCUUGCCAAAAUUCACGAGAUGUGAGGAUCAAGUCUCAACUAAUGAUCAAGAAGAUGGAUUUUCCAACUAGCUAUAAGUAUCCAGCGGUUCUGCAACUGUUUGCUAUCAUUUUUGUGCCGAGAUGGAAUGUUCCCUAGAGAGAUAGCUUAGGUUAGCUAUCCAGCGGUUCUGCAACUGUUUGCUAUCAUUUUUGUGCCGAGAUGGAACGUUCCCUAGAGAGAUAGCUUAGGUUAGCUUGUUCCUUUGUUCUGUAACUCAGACUGGCUUGUUCU
rnacentral:lncRNA from 1 species